CACCUCUAGCAUACCCAGUAUUAGAGGCACUGCCUGCCCAGUGACACAUGUUCAACGGCCGCGGUACACUGACCGUGCAAAGGUAGCAUAAUCACUUGUUCCCUAAAUAGGGACUCGUAUGAAUGGCCACACGAGGGUUUAACUGUCUCUUACUUUUAAUCAGUGAAAUUGACCUAUCCGUGAAGAGGCGGAUAUACCAAAAUAAGACGAGAAGACCCUAUGGAGCUUCAAUUAAAUAGUACACACUAAUACUUUUAAAACCCACAGGCAACAACCUAUCGUUAAUGUACUAUAAAUUUUGGUUGGGGUGACCUCGGAGUAUAAUAUAACCUCCGAAAAACACACACUAAGACUUCACUAGUCUAAGUAAACACAUAUUAAUUGACCCAAUAACUUGAUCAACGGACUAAGUUACCCUAGGGAUAACAGCGCAAUCCUAUUUUAGAGUCCAUAUCGACAAUAGGGUUUACGACCUCGAUGUUGGAUCAAGACAUCCUAAUGGUGCAGAAGCUAUUGAGGGUUCGUUUGUUCAACGAUUAAAGUCUU
rnacentral:rRNA from 1 species